rnacentral:rRNA from 1 species
UACGGGGGGGGCAAGCGUUGUUCGGAAUUACUGGGCGUAAAGGGCUCGUAGGCGGCCAACUAAGUCGGAUGUGAAAUCCCCAGGCUCAACCUGGGAACUGCAUCCGAUACUGGAUGGCUUGAAUUCGGGAGAGGGAUGCAGAAUUCCAGGUGUAGCGGUGAAAUGCGUAGAUAUCUGGAGGAAUACCGGUGGCGAAGGCGGCAUCCUGGACCGACAUUGACGCUGAGGAGCGAAAGCCAGGGGAGCGAAAGGG